rnacentral:lncRNA from 1 species
CAGCAAGUGCAUAUUUUAUUAAACAAGAACCAAACAACAAUUAAUAGUCUCAUAGAAAGUUCCAUUUCAAACACAUAGUGAAAUUUUAAGUCUAUCAUAUUAUACAACAUGCAAGAAAUAUCUCUUUUUCUUUGGUGUGUUCGUGCUUUCCUUCUAUUACCCCACCACAUGUCGCUUUCCUCUCACUCUUUUCGGCACUGCUAGCGCCCGGAUGUCCGAUCCGGGUGCUCCGGGCGCUAGCCGUCAGAUGAUGAGUCCCGCAUCGCGCCUGCAUCAUGAGCCCCCCUGUCAUGCGCCACUACCGGUCUUGUUGGAGAGCCAUCGAGUGCUCUGCCCCUACACCCUGAGUCCUGCCGCCCGCACAAGCAAAGAGAAAGGAAGAGACAGCUGGUCGGAGGGAAGAUGAAGAUGAAAGAAUAGUUUAUGGAACAUCAAAAAUUGCAUCUGCAACACUGAAAAACAAUCUAUGCAACAUCAGAAAAAUCAACUUUUGCAGCUUCGAGAACAAUUUAUGGAACUAGCUCAUCACUGCAACAUCAAGGAAAAUAUAUUGCAACAUCAAAAAGAAGCUGCCACAACAUUCUUAACAUUCUACUCCAACCUUAGAAUGGCAUCUCCAUCUCUACCUAUCCAACUGACAUGUAUAGGGAAACAAAACUAGAUGCACUUUCGAAACAUUGAGGGAAAUCUAUUGCAACAGUUCGCUAAAAGCUACUGCAACAUCAAGACAGUAUCCCUGCAACAAAUCGAUUAACCCAUUUCCACAUAGGCAUGAUGCAAAGAGGGGAUGAAGAAGGACAGCCAUGUCUUGGAUUAGCAAGGGAGAAAACAGACAUUGAAGGAAGGGGCCACUGUCAUGCAGCAAAUCGAGCAGCCUGGUCACAUGUGUGUCACCCUCACCUGGUUCUCGUCUAUUUCCUCCACCUAGGGAGGCGGUGGUGCAUGGAGUUACGGGUCGUCUUCGUGAAGAAGCUGCUGCAGUAGUUGGAUGUCGGCUCAGUAGGGCAAGCAACAUGGGAUGUAGGAAGAAGAAGCAUCGAUGGAGGUCGCCAUGGCCGGAUGAGAGAAAAAAAUGAGUGGUUGAGAGCUGUCAGCUAGAUAUGGAU